rnacentral:rRNA from 1 species
GAUGAACGCUGGCGGCGUGCCUAAUACAUGCAAGUCGAGCGAACAGACGAGGAGCUUGCUCCUCUGACGUUAGCGGGGGACGGGUGAGUAACACGUGCAUAACCUACCUAUAAGACUGGGAUAACUUCGGGAAACCGGUGCUAAUACCGGAUAAUAUAUUGAACGGCAGGGUUCAAUAGUGAAAGAGGGUUUUGCUGUCACUUAUAGAUGGAUCCGCGCCGGAUUAGCUGGUUGGUAAGGUAACGGCUUACCAAGGCAACGAUGCGUAGCCGACCUGAGAGGGUGAUCGGCCACACUAGAACUGAGACACGGUCCAGACUCCUACGGGAGGCAGCAGUAGGGAAUCUUCCGCAAUGGGCGAAAGCCUGACGGAGCAACGCCGCGUGAGUGAUGAAGGUCUUCGGAUCGUAAAACUCUGUUAUUAGGGAAGAACAAAUGUGUAAGUAACUAUGCACGUCUUGACGGUACCUAAUCAGAAAGCCACGGCUAACUACGUG